AUUCUAACCUUAUAGCUAGUUCCAAUGCAAUAACCAAAAAAAUGGUUAAAAAUUUGAUCAAAAACGGUGUCCGCCAUUUUAGCAACCAUCUUUGACGUAGCCACAUUUUUUUUUGUUUAGUUUCAAUUAUUAAGUUUUAUCAUCAAAUAAACAAUAUAUGGUUUUCGCAAACUUAAUUUCUAGUGCCCACUGGGUACCGUAAAUCGGCCAAAAACCGAUUCCGUCGAAAAGUAGUUUUAGUACCGAUCCAACUACUUGCCAGGUUAUCGUUGCUGGAUCCAGCACGAAUACACCGGUUCCAAAUCCGGUCCCUCGCUGACAAGAGAAGUUGCAGACAUCAACCAACAAGGAUCAUCUCCAAGGAACAACUCCAGAUUUAAGCCAGGGGUCGAGUGCGAGCAUUGGCGUUAUUGGUGGUCGGACGCUUGUGCGGUAUAGUAAUAAUCGGAUUUUUGUGAUAUUAUCUCAAAAAGAAAUGCUGGUGAUACAACAGUUCGAUCCGGGAAGAGACAUUUUACUGAAAGAAUGUUCAACGAGGAUCAAGAGAACAUAAACGGUUGAUGGCGGAACAAUUCUAAUUCAUCGGUUCCAAGAACGCCUCCUACUCUCGCCAUGAUCCUAAAACCGUAAACCGUUUGGAGCACCAUCAUAGAGGUGUAAUUCGAACGUACAUUCAUGAUCCAGAUUUAGUCCAGGAAAACAGUUAUCAAUAUGCGACAGCAGCAACAACAUGGCACGCUCCUGGUUCGAAGGCAAAUGUACCAGAACUGGCAGGCUUGGGAAAUAGAAAUUUUCAGUCGAUAUAAGAUUCGUAGAACUACGUCUGCUAUAUGGAAUUUCUUGAUUCCUAGCAGCGGGCCGGGUUAGGAGAGGGAAAGUCAGGACUGGUUGUUGAAACACCCCCUUGUCACUGGCCGCCCUCUUAAGCAAGACUCAACAGAUGGUUAUCAUACACCCACUUUCACAGGAACCGUCGUUACGCUUUUUGGUUUCGGCCGUGGAGCCACCUUUGUAUGAGCGAUGAGUUUUGGUUCCACAGCGAAUAAAAUGUAUGAAAAUUUCAACAUACUGAA